AUUGAACGCUGGCGGCAGGCUUAACACAUGCAAGUCGAGCGGGGGAAGGUAGCUUGCUACCGGACCUAGCGGCGGACGGGUGAGUAAUGCUUAGGAAUCUGCCUAUUAGUGGGGGACAACAUCUCGAAAGGGAUGCUAAUACCGCAUACGUCCUACGGGAGAAAGCAGGGGAUCUUUGGACCUUGCGCUAAUAGAAGAGCCUAAGUCGGAUUAGCUAGUUGGUGGGGUAAAGGCCUACCAAGGCGACGAUCUGUAGCGGGUCUGAGAGGAUGAGCCGCAACACUGGGAAUGAGACACGGCCCAGACUCCUACGGGAGGCAGCAGUGGGGAAUAUUGGACAAUGGGGGGAACCCUGAUCCAGCCAUGCCGCGUGUGUGAAGAAGGCCUUAUGGUUGUAAAGCACUUUAAGCGAGGAGGAGGCUACUUUAGUUAAUACCUAGAGAUAGUGGACGUUACUCGCAGAAUAAGCACCGGCUAACUCUGUGCCAGCAGCCGCCGUAA
rnacentral:rRNA from 1 species